UGUUAACUAAUGGAGCUAGAACUGAUGUUGUUGAUAAAGAUGGUGAAACUCUACUACAUUGUGCUGGUGAAUGUGGUAAAGGUGAAAUGCUUGAGUUUUGGAGAGGAGAUUAUGAUGUGAAUGUUAA